UUCAACAAAAUCUUUGUGCUGAUUUCUGUAGGUAGCAAAUUGCAAUUCAGCGCCCAUGUGUGUAAAUCGUAAAUACACGAGGGCGGGACCAACGUUAUAAUUACGCUAUAUUCUACACCAAUCAUAUCAUAGACAGUGGGGGCUUCACCCAAUCAACGCUCAGGUGGAUUUUCAAAUGUCGGAAGAGUAGAUUGAUGGACCAUUCAUUCAAAACAAGAGUGCUCAUUUGAUAUUCACUGAAAAUACACGUAACUUAGCUAAACUUACAACCCAUAUAUUUUAACGAAAACUACAACUUUCAGCUGCUAUUUAAGUAAAAUUGGACGCUGGUAUUAAAUCAAGUUUUAUUUGCACACUACAAUGGGAAAAGGUAAAAAGAAAGUCUUGACCUCCGCAGAAGUUAAACCCGAAGACGCCCCCGACAUCAAAGGGAAACACACAAAAGAAAAUCAUCCGAAAAUGAACGGGGAGAGUCUGUGCUGCGGGCUGCUCUAGAGUUCAAAGGUCACUGAACGAUGCGGUCUGUUGCAGGAGAGUCUGUGCUGCAGGCUGCUCUAGAGUUCAAAGGUCACUGAACGAUGCGGUCUGUUGCAGGAGAGUCUGUGCUGCGGGCUGCUCUAGAGUUCAAAGGUCACUGAAUGAUGCGGUCUG